rnacentral:rRNA from 1 species
UACGUAGGGUGCAAGCGUUGUCCGGAAUUAUUGGGCGUAAAGAGCUCGUAGGCGGUGUGUCACGUCGUUCGUGAAAACCUGCAGCUUAACUGUGGGCGUGCGGUCGAUACGGGCAUCACUGGAGUUCGGCAGGGGAGAGUGGAAUUCCUGGUGUAGCGGUGAAAUGCGCAGAUAUCAGGAGGAACACCGGCGGCGAAGGCGGCUCACUGGGACGAUACUGACGCUGAGGAGCGAAAGCGUGGGGAGCAAACAGG